ensembl:ncRNA lncRNA:CR46204 long non-coding RNA:CR46204
GUCUCGACUUAAGCUCAGAAGAGAGACAAUCCGAAGAGCCUAGCUUGGCGAAGAGUGCGAGAUCAGCAUGUGCUGAGUCACGUACGAUUGAAGUUUUCCACUUGCGACUUAUAGCUUACAGAUGUCCACAUCUUCCACAAAUCCGAGUUUCGAGGAAUACGCGAUGAUUGCAUAAAGGCGAAACAAUAUAUACAUACAUAUAAUAUAAAUGUUUUUAUCUGACUGAUACCGAUUAGUAGGAAUGCAGGCCAGUUGUUUCUUUCAAAAGCUUUUAAAAUGUGUCACCUUUUAAAUCUAUAACACGUAUUAUAUUGAAGGAAUACCUAAUUAAUUGAAAAUGCAUAUCUUUUUAUUAGGAGCAUCCCAAAGGAAUCGGAAAAUAUAAAUAUUUUGUUUUUCUUAAAUAUUGAGAAUUCAACUGUAUGGUAACCAAUCAUCAAGAAUUCGAUUUUCAAUGUGAGAUUCGUUUAAAUAGCCGAAUAUUCCAACUAUAUAUGCAUAUUUACGAAAAGUAAAAUAUAAAUGGAAAAAAUAACUUCCGUCAUUUAUCUCAGUGUCUUUCACAUGUGACUCAUCUCCACGAGCGACUGCCUCCGAAAAGCUUUUUCAGCUUUUAUGAAUGAAACAGCACGGUGAGCACUAACUAUCUGUGUGUGUGGCUGCGAGCUAUCCAUUUAAGACCCCACUCCCACCCAUGCGGUUGGGGGGUCUGAAUCAGCGUACGAUUCCUGGAAAAAGGAUAAUAUCCUGCGCCGGCAUUUGUUGUGGCAUUAAUUUCCACUGCGGCAGAGUCUCAAUGCCGUGACUCACUUGCUUCGUGCUCAGCAUUCCGGAGCAGCUUUCACUUUCCGGGCGGAGGACCUCUGACAUUCAAGACGGCUUGUUACGCGGAAUUUGAUAAUAUUGCUGAUUCACCUUCUGGGGAAAUGGGGGUCAGUACAGUUGAUAAUUGAAUACAUCGCUUAAAAAGUGGUCGCACGUUAGAUAAGGAUUUUUAUGUUUUGGGUUUUUCAGCUAAUUAAACCAAAUUAUUAAAUAUGAACGAUGAAUAGAAAAUAUAAUUGUCACAUUAUUUGGAAAACGAAAUAUUAUCAGUUUGAAAUACAUGCGAAAGAACCAGGUAGUAUUUUUAUAAUUUCAUGACAAAAUUACAAAUAAGUACUAAAUGUUCCUAUUUUAUUACUGUGAAAAAUUUAUAAGUAAAUAAGAAUAAAAAUAAUAUUAAUUAAAGUUGGAUGGUCGGUGACACAAAAUCCACAUGCUUAAGUUCUUCCCAAUACUACGUACAUAUGCAUAAAAAAGGACUUUCCGCCAUUAUCGUAAAUCGUUAUCAAAACCACACUGGCACGAAGGUCAUGCCACCUGGUAAACAUACAUACAUACAUAAGUGCACGUGAGCUAAGCGCAAAUAAAUAGGAAUUAUGUCAAAUGUUAGUAUUGAAAUUCCACAUCAAUUGCCAUCGCCGCCCGUGGAAUUGGAGUGGGGGAAUUGCGGGACUAAGUCAACUCGCAAUGUCUUGAUGGCACGAACGUAGAACAACAACCCGGUUAAUGGAGUCCAGACAUCGAUCAAACAAUGGUGAAUGGAGAAGCUCCCACUCCCACAAGGCCGGCAACCAAUUGCAGCGGGUUUUCCACGAAAAUCACGCGAUAUUCGUCCAGUCCCGCGAGGUAAUUUUUAAUGGAUCCUGCCCCCUUAUAAGCUGACACGUGCUGGGGCAGUCAUUUUCAUGUACAUACACAUAUGUACAUUUGCACCCCGUGUAUACGACAUUAUUGAUUUUUUCCGGUUGUCGGACUUUCGCCUUAAACUCUUUGAACUUCCUGUGGCACGUGUCCUUGACAGCGGUGGGGCAACUAACCCAACAAUGUUGUCGGUGUCCCAUUCAAU